GCAUCGAUGAUUCCGUGAUAGAAUACUCGUUUCUUAAUCGAGUGACCCGGGUUCUAUUCCCGGUCUGUGCA